rnacentral:rRNA from 1 species
AACGAACGCUGGCGGCAUGCCUAACACAUGCAAGUCGAGCGAGACCUUCGGGUCUAGUGGCGCACGGGUGCGUAACGCGUGGGAACCUGCCCUUAGGUUCGGAAUAACUCCCCGAAAGGGGUGCUAAUACCGGAUAAUGUCUUCGGACCAAAGAUUUAUCGCCUUUGGAUGGGCCCGCGUUGGAUUAGCUAGUUGGUAGGGUAAAAGCCUACCAAGGCGACGAUCCAUAGCUGGUCCGAGAGGAUGAUCAGCCACACUGGGACUGAGACACGGCCCAGACUCCUACGGGAGGCAGCAGUGGGGAAUAUUGGACAAUGGGCGAAAGCCUGAUCCAGCAAUGCCGCGUGAGUGAUGAAGGCCUUAGGGUUGUAAAGCUCUUUUACCCGGGAUGAUAAUGACAGUACCGGGAGAAUAAGCUCCGGCUAACUCCGUG